UACGAGUGGCCCAAGCGUUAUCCGGAAUUAUUGGGCGUAAAGGAUGUGUAGGUGGUCGUAUUAGUCCGGUGUCUAACCUCUGAGCUCAACUUGGAGACAGCAUUGGAAACGGUACGGCUAGAGUAUGUUAGGGGUAAGCGGAACUCAUAGUGUAGGGGUGAAAUCCGUUGAUAUUAUGGGGAACACCAAAAGCGAAGGCAGCUUACUGGAACAUUACUGACACUGAAACAUGAAAGCGUGGGUAGCAAACAGG
rnacentral:rRNA from 1 species